rnacentral:lncRNA from 1 species
UGAGUGUGAUGACAUUUAACUCCAACUGCAACAAUAUUUGCACAGUGAUGUAAACUUUACCAAGGGCAUUGCCAACCCUUUGCUCACUGGUAGAUCAGUGCCUCUUAAUUUUUUUCCUUCUUGCCAGUCUCCAAUGCUACCACCAAGGCUCUCUUGCUUUUUUUCUUUCCCCUCUCUCUCUACUCUUUUAAUUAAAUCCUAACUCAUCUCUCUGCUUCCAACCCUGCCUCUGCAUUAGUCAGUGCUUCUUAACAGGGGCAGGGCACACUCCUUGGAUUGUGGGAGUGGAAAAUUGAUUGGAUAUUGGUCACCACCAUAAUUGGAGAGGUACUGCUGCCGUUUAGUGUACAGAGGCCGCAGAGGUUAGAGACGCAGCAACGCAUGGCUAUUCAGCCACGGACGUCAAAUGCCUGCCAGACAUUUAGCUACCCUGUCUAGCAGAACCAUGUCCCAUUUGACAGAUGAGUGAACCAAGCCUUAAAUGGGAAGAAGAAGAAGGCGGAGGAGAAGGAGGAGGAAAGAAGAAGAAGAAAGAGGAGGAGGAAGAGGAGAAGGGGAGGAGGAAGAAGAGGAGCAGCUGACAAAGUUCCCAUAGUGGAAUGUGGAAGACCUUGGUUUCAAAUUUAGUCGUCUAACUCCAAAUCAGUGUAUUUUACUGGGCUGUAGCUUAAUAAAUACAAGAAGCUACCCUCUCUCCUUGAGAAAUACUCCCUAGGCUGUGGCUCAUUUUAGAGAGUAAGAAGUGUUUAGAUAGGAUAACAGAGAUAAUUUACAAAGGGCAAAAGGAAGACUAUGAUUCAGGAGCAGACGAAUGAGAAUCAGAACCAUUGUCAAGAAUUAGGCCCAGUGAAAAAAUGGGACAUGUAAAAGAGAGAGAAAGAAAGUCCAAAAUGUCUGAGCAAUGUAACAGGCCUGCCAUUUAUCUCACUUCUGAAUAUCAGAAAAGGCAGCAUUUGUUGUCCACAGAAAAAUACAUGGGAUUUAUAGACACUGCCAGGCUCAAGGACCAGUGACACAACUCCCACCGCAGAGAGCCCUGUGGGGUGCUUUCCAGUGGCCACUGGUGGAGUGGGCAGAGUCCUCGGGGAACCAGAGGCCUGCUAUGCAUCUGGAGAGCUGCUUGCUCAGGAUGUCAUGGCUAAACUCCUUGAUCUCUUGGCAGCGUGUGGCCCCGUGAAAUGUGCUUCUUCUUUUUGAAAAGGCCUCUUUUUUUGGAAGUCAAGUCACCACACCAUUUAGAUUCCCCAUACUUCUGGACAGCAUCUUCCCAAGUGCUUUCCCCAACUUGUGGUCAACCCUGUCUUAUACCUCAUCUCGAUCUCUGUCAAUCAACACUAUUCACCCCUCAAGACACGCUUCGACUGACUGCCCCCGCAACCCUUCCAUGGAGUCCUGUCUUUUGGUCGUCCCAGUGAGAAGGGAUCUCUCUCUUCUGAAUGCCUGUAAUGUUUUGUGUCUCCUAUAGCACAUUGAACACACUGCCUUCUGAUAUAGUUGGGUGUCAACAUAUGGUAUCCUCCCUACAAGGGAUUAGCUUGUUUCUAAGACCUUAGUCUUUUUAUUAGACCAAUUUACUUGAUAGAUGAAAAGACUCAUAGAAGUCAUCUAAAUCAAUGUGCCCAUGUUGUAGAUGAGGAAAUGAGCCCUAGAGAGCUGACAUAGUCUAAACAAAUUCGCACAUUCUCCUCUCGCUAGGCUAGAGGAGAGCUGGAAUUCAUUUGCACCCUGAAAUCAGGGACGUGCUUGCCCAGAAUGAGGACAGAAAAGGUUGAAGGAAUGAAUGAUUCUGACAAAUCCCCUAGACCUGCCAUCCCACUGUCAAAAGUGGUUCUGCCAGAGACACAGACAAUGAGUAGGGGAUCCUCAAGUCAACCUCAUCCCAGAGAUAACCAUCUCACUUAGCAUGCGUCCGGGUGGCACCAUCAGCAGCACACAGUAUCUGUUCCCAUCCAAAGAGCUUUUCACGAGGAGCUCGUUCUGAGCUUCUUGAUAAGCAACUGGGUAGUGGUGCUAUUUUUAAUCAGCUGACCAGGGAUGAAAGUUGUUCAGAGAAUUCUGCUUUCAUACAUUAGAAAAAAAACCCAGAAAAUCAAUCUAGCACUAAUAAAAGAUGAUUGAAAAUUGCUAAUACCAACCAAUUGUGAAACUUUGCC